rnacentral:rRNA from 1 species
GGAUCCAGACUUUGAUCAUGGCUCACGAUGAACGCUAGCUACAGGCUUAACACAUGCAAGUCGAGGGGCAGCGGGAUUGAAGCUUGCUUCAAUUGCCGGCGACCGGCGCACGGGUGAGUAACGCGUAUCCAACCUUCCGUACACUCAGGGAUAGCCUUUCGAAAGAAAGAUUAAUACCUGAUAGUAUCUUAAGCACACAUGUAAUUAAGAUUAAAGAUUUAUCGGUGUACGAUGGGGAUGCGUUCCAUUAGGUAGUAGGCGGGGUAACGGCCCACCUAGCCAACGAUGGAUAGGGGUCCUGAGAGGAAGGUCCCCCACAUUGGAACUGAGACACGGUCCAAACUCCUACGGGAGGCAGCAGUGAGGAAUAUUGGUCAAUGGACGAGAGUCUGAACCAGCCAAGUAGCGUGAAGGAUGAAGGUCCUACGGAUUGUAAACUUCUUUUAUAAGGGAAUAAACCCUCCCACGUGUGGGAGCUUGUAUGUACCUUAUGAAUAAGCAUCGGCUAACUCCGUGCCAGCAGCCGCGGUAAUACGGAGGAUGCGAGCGUUAUCCGGAUUUAUUGGGUUUAAAGGGAGCGCAGACGGGUCGUUAAGUCAGCUGUGAAAGUUUGGGGCUCAACCUUAAAAUUGCAGUUGAUACUGGCGUCCUUGAGUGCGGUUGAGGUGUGCGGAAUUCGUGGUGUAGCGGUGAAAUGCUUAGAUAUCACGAAGAACUCCGAUUGCGAAGGCAGCACACUAAUCCGUAACUGACGUUCAUGCUCGAAAGUGUGGGUAUCAAACAGGAUUAGAUACCCCGGUAGUCCACACGGUAAACGAUGGAUACUCGCUGUUGGCGAUAACUGUCAGCGGCUUAGCGAAAGCGUUAAGUAUCCCACCUGGGGAGUACGCCGGCAACGGUGCAACUCAAAUGAAUUGACGG